rnacentral:rRNA from 1 species
UACGUAGGGUGCGAGCGUUGUCCGGAAUUAUUGGGCGUAAAGCGCGUGUAGGCGGCUAAGUAAGUCGGGCGUGAAAUCCCACGGCUCAACCGUGGAAGUGCACUCGAAACUGCGUAGCUAGAGUCCUGGAGAGGAAGGUGGAAUGCUUGGUGUAGAGGUGAAAUUCGUAGAUAUCAAGCGGAACACCGGUGGCGAAGGCGGCCUUCUGGACAGUGACUGACGCUGAGACGCGAAAGCGUGGGGAGCAAACAGG